GCGCACCAGUCGAGAAUUUUUCUCAAUGGGGAAACCCGUGAAGGAGCGACGCCGCGUGGAGGAUGAAGGCUUUCGGGUUGGUAAACUCCUGUCAUUUGGGAACAAGGUAUCGCGGUUAACUGCCGCGUUAUUGAUAGUACCAGAAGAGGAAGAGACGGCUAACUCUGUGCCAGCAGCCGCGGUAAUACAGAGGUCUCAAGCGUUGUUCGGAUUCAUUGGGCGUAAAGGGUGCGUAGGUGGCGCUGUAAGUCGGGUGUGAAAUUUCGGAGCUUAACUCCGAAACUGCAUUCGAUACUGCGGUGCUUGAGGACUGGAGAGGAGACUGGAAUUUAUGGUGUAGCAGUGAAAUGCGUAGAGAUCAUAAGGAAGACCAGUGGCGAAGGCGGGUCUCUGGACAGUUCCUGACACUGAGGCACGAAGGCCAGGGGAGGCAAACGGGAUUAGAUACCCGCGUAGU
rnacentral:rRNA from 1 species